rnacentral:rRNA from 1 species
GACGAACCGUCCAAACGUUAUUCGGAAUCACUGGGCUUAAAGGGUGCGUAGGCGGCCCGGCAAGUUGGGUGUGAAAUCCCUCGGCUCAACCGAGGAAUUGCGCUCAAAACUGCUGGGCUCGAGGGAGAUAGAGGUGAGCGGAACUUAGGGUGGAGCGGUGAAAUGCGUUGAUAUCCUAAGGAACACCGGGGGCGAAAGCGGCUCACUGGGUCUCUUCUGACGCUGAGGCACGAAAGCUAGGGGAGCGAACGGG